UUCCUGUGAGAGGAAGUGCUCUGGGGUUACAGGGCCGGCACAGGAAGGUCUGGGAGCUUGCCCUGAACUUCUUCACCAGGAGGGCGGUGGAUACCUGGGGCUGUGCCCACGGACACCCACCCCCUUCCGCCUUCCCAGGGACUGGCGCCAUAGAGGAAACCGAUGGGGACUGCUCAGAACCCCCUUCUUCCUGCCGCUCUCCCUCAAGCAGUGGAAGGGACUCCCUCUUGGUCCAUUCUGGCAUGAGGCUUAUUUGGGGCCACUAACCUGACCACGUGUUUGGCAGUGGAUGGGGGCAGGCAGGGGCUCAGGCGGCCUAGGCUGUGGGCACCCCCCACGGCCCCAGGGAAUGGGUAGUUUGGCGGGGCACCAGGCACCGAGGGCCAACCUUGGUACACCACUCCCUGUCUCAUCAGAUGGGCAGCGGGAGGCUUUGGAGGCUGCGCCGGGGCUCUGAGCUGCUCUAGGUUUGCACACCGGCUGGGCGUGGGUCACAGACAUGGCCCAGCCGCUGAACUUUGUCCUCAAUGUUCCCGAGACCCCAGAGGACCACAGCAGCCAGGAGCCCAGCCCGUAUGAUGAGAGUGAAGUCCAUGACUCCUUCCACCAGCUCAUCCAGGAGCAGAGCCAGUGGGUGGCUGAGGAGGGGCUGGAGCUGCAGCAGAGGGAGCCGGGGGCUGGAGGCCCGGAGACCUCAGGCUGUGGCCAGCACGCCCUGCCGGGGCCCGAGGAUGCGCUUGCGCACAGCGCAGCCACGCUCCGCAUCUUGGCCAGCAUGCCCAGUCGCACUAUCGGCCGGAGCCGCGGUGCCGUCAUCUGCCAGUGCUACAACCGCUCGGUGCAGCUGCGGCGCAGGGUCAGCCGGCCGGAGCUCAAGGGCGUGGGGCGCUCGGCGCGGCCCAGCCUCCGCCUCUACGACCUGGAGCUGGACCCCGCGGCCCUGCAGGAGGAGGAGAAGCGCUCCCUCCUGGUGAAGGAGCUGGAGGGCCUGCCGGUGGCCCAGCGGAACCACAUGCUCCGGGGAAUGCCCUUGGGCCUGGCCGAGAAACGCUGCCUGCGAGAGGAGACCCAGACCCCGACGGAGAAGCAGAGGGGCCGGCAGGGCCCGCAUGGGCUCUUCCCCUGCUGCGGCCGGCUCCGAGAUGCCUGCGUCCUGGCCCUGCACAGCCUGGGGCUCGGGCUGCUCGGGCGUCUGCACGCCCUGAGGCCGUGGCGCUACGCCCUGAAGCAGAUCGGAGGCCAGUUCGGCUCCAGCGUGCUCUCCUACUUCCUCUUCCUCAAGACCCUGCUGGCCUUCAACGCCCUCCUGCUGCCGCCGCUGCUGGCCUUCAUCGUGGGCGUGCAGGCGGCCUUCCCGCCGCCAGCGCCCCCGGGCUCUGUCCCCAGCUUCACGGGCCUGGAGCUGCUCACCGGCGGGGGCCGCUUCACCCACACUGUCCUGUAUUACGGCUACUACAGUAACAGCACAAUGAGCCAGCCGUGUGUGCCCCCCCCGGGGGGUGGUCAGUGCAGCCGCGAGGCCGACAGCCUGCCCUACAGCAUGCCCUUGGCCUACCUUUUCACUGUGGGCCUAGCCUUCUUUAUCACCUGCAUCACCCUGGUGUACAGCAUGUCCCACUCUUUCGGGGAGAGCUACCGGGUGGGCAGCACCUCAGGGGUUCAUGCCGUCACCGUUUUCUGCUCCUGGGACCAUAAGGUGACCCAGAGACGGGCCUCCCGCCUCCAGCACGACAACAUCCGAACCCAUCUGAAGGAGCUGUUAGCCGAGUGGCAGCGACGGCGGGGCUCCCGGAGCGCGUGCGGGCGGCUGCGGCGGGUGGCCGUGCGGGGGCUCGUGUGGCUGCUGUCCCUGGGGACCACGCUGGGCUGCACCGUGGCCGUCUACGCCUUCUCCGAGCUCAUGAUCAAGAGCCCGGUGUCUGUCGAGCAGGAGGGGGCGCUGCUGGCCCUGCCCGUGGUGGUCUGCCUCCUCAACCUGGGGGCCCCCUACCUGUUCCGCUGCCUGGCGGCCCUGGAGCGGUACGACUCGCCGGUGCUGGAGGUGUACGUGGCCGUCUGCAGGAACCUCAUCCUCAAGAUGGUCAUCCUGGGCAUUCUUUGCUACCACUGGCUGGGCCGCAGGGUGGGCACCCUGAAGGACCAGUGCUGGGAGAACUUUGUGGGCCAGGAGCUGUAUCGGCUCAUGGUGCUGGACUUCAUCUUCGUGCUGCUGGACACGCUGUUCGGGGAGCUGGUGUGGAGGCUCAUCUCUGAGAAGCAGCUUAAGAGGAGGGAGAAACCGGAGUUCGACAUUGCCGGGAACGUUCUGCAGCUGAUUUAUGGGCAGACCCUGACCUGGCUGGGGGUCCUCUUCUCUCCUCUCCUCCCUGCCAUCCAGAUCGUCAAGCUGCUGCUCAUCUUCUAUGUCAAGAAGGCUCACAUUCUGAGUGUCCGCUCCCUGGGGGCGGGGAGCCCAUCCCGGCCUGGGGUGUCGCCCAGGGCCCCCCCCCCCCGAAGCUGUGGCCGUGGCGGAUCUCAGCCUUUGUCCCCAGACCAGCCUGAGGGCCAACUGCCAGGCGCCCCGCCGGCCCUGGCUGGCUUCACACAUGAGCACCGUCUUCAUCUCCUUGCUCUGCUUCCCCUCCUUCCUGGGAGCCGCUGUCUUCCUCUGCUUCGCUGUGUGGCGGGUGAAGCCCUCGAGCACCUGCGGCCCGUUCCGGAGCCUGAACAGCAUGUACGAGGCGGGCAAGGUGUGGGUGCGCCAUCUGGAGGAGGCGGGCCCCAGGGUCUCCUGGCUACCCUGGGUCCACCGGUACCUGGUGGAGAACACCUUCCCCGUCUACCUGGUGUCGGCCCUGCUGCUGUGAGUGCGGGCAGGCGGGCCCCGCAGGAGGACCGGCCCGGGUGGAGGCCCCAGCCUGUCGGUGCCCUGGGCUCCAGCGCGGAGCCCCUCCCGACCGCGUGGCUCCCCAUGCUGCAGGGCGGUGAUCUACCUCCACAUCCAGGUGGUGAAGGGCCAGCGGAGGGUCAUCUGCCUCCUCAAGGAGCAGAUCAGCAACGUGAGUGCCCUGCCGCCCCCGGCCCGGCCGCGAGAGGCUCUGUUUGCCCCACAAAUGACACCCGGCCCUGCGGGGGGCUGUACGAAGCGGAGCGGGGAGUGAGGCAGCGGCCGCCCUGGAGCGCCCUCGGGGACAGGGCUCCCGCCCUGGGGGGGGGUGGAUCGCGGCUCCGGCAGAGAAAGGCGGCAUUUUCGGGCGGGCGGCCCCGCGGGGCUACGGUCUCUGUGAGGGUCUUGGAGGUACUGGAAAUAGCCCUUGGACUUCUUGGGGGACCCGCGUCAGGACAUGGACCCUGUUCAUUGCCCUCAUUUUCCAAACAAGUGGAGUAAGUUAAACGCGAGCCCGGGUUUUCGUCCUUUGUAUUAAGCACGUUUGGUUUGUCGUAAGUGUGAGAGGCAGGGUGGGCUGAGACGCCCGGGGGCGGCUCCUUCCUGGGACCCCCACUGCACCGUCGGCCCCUGGGGAUCCGCCGGCCCCGAGCUGCUCAAGCCCACCCCAGAGGCGGCCCAGCCCGGCCCCGUGGACCGUCCCUCCCUGCUCGGCUGCUAGGCCUCGCGUCCGGUUAAAAGCCAGCGACCACGGACUCUGGAUCACUCGGGCUGGCAUUUUCCCAGCCGGGGGGCGCGUCCUGCCGGGGUCUGCUCAGCCGGACCUGCCAGCGACGGCGGGUCCCCGCAUAGACGCUGGGUGGGCUCGGACCUCGCCGUCACUCUCCCCGCGGCCGUUCCCCUUCUGCAGAUUCUCACUGUCCCCUGGACGCUUGGGCCACUCUGAGGCCACUGUGCCGGUGGCCUGGCGUUCACACGGGGCCGGGGGUUGCGCCUCCUCCGGGUGUGUGCUGGGGGCCACCUGGGACGCUGCCUUAGGAGGACUCGGGGGUCAGGCGCGGGGUGUCAGCCAUGGCAGGCCAGGGCUGGGGUGCAGUAGGCAUGGGCCCCUCCUGCUGGCUUACUGAUGCAGGGCCUGGGCCCCAAGCGGGAAGGUCCCUUAGGGACAGCGCCCACUUCUUAGGGGGUUCAAGUAACACAAUGGGAGGCCCCCGUCCCCUUCCCUUAUACACACGGGCGUCUUGGCGCGCCCACAGGGAGCACGGCGUAAGGCCAGGCAUUCUGGCUGAGGCGGUCACCUGGCCACAGCUGGCGGAAGCAGGUCUUUGCCAGCUGGCUCCCGCCUGCCCUACUGUGUAGUGCACCAAGCCCUGCGGAUACCUUCGGGGUCCCGGGGGUGGAGGUGGGGCUGGUAGAUGCACAGCAGCGUCGGGAGGAGGAUCCCAGCUCCACCUGCUAGUUCUCUGGGAGCGGAAAGGCCCUCCGGGCAGGCCCUUGCUGCAGACUGUGUCCGCCCCCCGCCAAGGCUGAGCCCUGCCCCGGUUGCAAGGCUUUGGGGCUGCAGGUCUGAGCUUGGCUAGGCCCCUGGAACUGCUUUUCCCGGGCCUGGGCAGGGGGGCUUACUCAAGGGCACGGCCCUCUGCACCCACCGGCACAGAUGGAAGCAGCCUCGAGCCAAGGGCUGUGGGCAGAUUCCAGAAGCUGGAGAAAGGAAGGAAGGAUGCUCCCCAAGAGUCUCCAGAAGGAACCAGUUUGGCUGACACCUUGAUCCUAGGCCCAGUGAGAGCCGUUUUGGACUUCUGACCUCCAGAACUGAAAGAUGAAUUUGUGUUGUCUUAAGCUGCCAAGUUGGUGGUAAUUAGAACGACAGUGGAAGCUCACACAAGCUCCGUGCGGCAGACACCCUUAUCUCCCGCUUACAGAUGCUGACUCUGAGGUCGGAGAGGAUGUAAUUCGCCCAACACGGAGUCCGUGGGCGGCGGGGCCAGUUUUAAAUUAAGUCAGGCUGGCUCUGUGGCCUUCACUGUGCCCCUGAUCACAUUUUCUUUUUCGUCUUGGCCACUAGGAAGCUUAGAUUGAUCGAUCUACAUAUAUGCCCGUUGCCUGGCUCUUGGUUUUUCCGUCCUCGUUUGGUGCCUCUUCUCCCUUUAAACUUUUUGUGCUUGUCUCAUGGAAUAGUCUGUUCUGGACAAACAGACGGAUGGACAACUGUCCCCUCACCCUUUGUGUUCUGGCCUUUUUAGGAGGGGGAAGACAAAGUCUUUUUGAUCAACAAGCUUCACUCCGUCUAUGAGAGGAGAGAGAGGAGCAGGGCUGGUAGAACCCAGGAGGCUGAGAGGCUCACGGAUGAUCCGGACGCCUGGUAGGACAGCGACAGGCCUUGCAGCUCUGCGUCUGCUCACAGGUGCGCCCUGUGCUGGGGUCGUUCUCUGUUUCCGCGGCCCCGUGGGCACUGACGCCCGCCCGGACUCUGCAGCCCAUGAGGGCUGGAACUGGAGGGUGGGCGAGUGGGGGGGCACGCCCAGUGGACUGUAUCCUGCUUGGGACUCUAUUUAUUCUGAUAAAACAUGUUUUGCAAAA